UACAGAGGGGGCAAGCGUUGUUCGGAAUUACUGGGCGUAAAGGGCGCGUAGGCGGCCUUCUAAGUCGAACGUGAAAUCCCCGGGCUCAACCCGGGAACUGCGUCCGAUACUGGGAGGCUUGAAUCCGGGAGAGGGAUGUGGAAUUCCAGGUGUAGCGGUGAAAUGCGUAGAUAUCUGGAGGAACACCGGUGGCGAAGGCGGCGACCUGGGUCGAGACUGACGCUGAGGCGCGAAAGCGUGGGGAGCAAACAGG
rnacentral:rRNA from 1 species